GGAUGUGUGAAACUUCAAAUGUGUAAAUUCACGAACGUGUGAACCGUACUUGUGACAUGGAACACCCUAGUUAAGCCAAAGAAUUAUUAAGAGGAAAACUGAAAUAAAGCGCUUGCAUUUGUGCAGUGAUUUGUUCAGUGCAAUAAUUGUUUCAUGGCGUGUUAUCCAUAUGACUUCUUGUAAGGCGUUUGGUCUUCUCAAGGUUUGUGACUAUCUGGUCAUAACUCAGAAAUCUUGAUGUUUUGAGAGCUUAGCUGGAACAACUUUUCCCCCAUCACACAUAAAUACCCAGCUUCAAUCUACAUUCUUUUGAGAUAACUUUCAUGUGUGCUUUAAUUUAUUUAAAAAACGAAACAACAGAGUUUUUCUGAUUAGUUAGAUAGAAAGGUGUCUUAAGCUAGUCUGUCAGUACUUUUGCUACAGAAGUAAUCAUCUUCACUCUGUUGUUUCAGAAGACUGUUUUGUCUUUUUUGGUUCUAAGCAGGGAAAGGAAAAUGGUUUACAGUACAUUAUUGAGAUAUGUUUUGUGUGUAGUUUUGGUAACAAUAUGUGGAAGGGUCUGAAGAACACGAGGUGUGUCUGAACAGUAACACCACCAAAGUGUGUUGACAUCAACAACGAUGUUUCUUCUUGCAGGCUAAGACGAGAAAGUGACUAAGACAAAACAGAUGAAUAAUCUAGGAGAGUUUAUCUGGUGCUAUUGCUGUCAUAUCAAUAUCCCUUUAACUGAACCGGCCUGGGUUGUCAAAAAGAGUUGGGAGGAGGGAUGCAAAGUAGUAAGUUAAAACCUUGAUGCUGAAUAGGGAGGUUUGGGGCUUCUGUGAGUUUGUUUGGCUUGUUUUUUGCAAUUUUUUUUUUUUUUUUUUUAGGACUAGUUCUGCAAGUUCAACAGGCUGCUUUCCUGGGAUUCUAAGUAGUGACAAUAUUAUUUCUUGUGUGAGUCACUGCAUGACCUCUGAUAGGAGAAUAUUUUCUGUCUGGGUACAAACACACACACAAAAGUAUCGUAAAGAACUGGUCUAUCAAAAAGGUUUUCAAAGAGAAACUGAUGGUAUCAGUUUUCUAACUGAAAUAAUCACUUUAAUACCCACAUGGCUGUUUUUCCCAUUGACAAUAAUAGAUAUCCUCUAGAACUGGCUGCACAAUAUUAUGCACUCAGAUAAAUACAUGUUUUUUAAUGUAGCCAAGGUUUGCUGUGGCCAUCAACUUGUCUUUGCUGUGGGCAUCAAUUUGUCUCUUUUUUCUUUCCAUUUCAAGAAAAUUAUUUAUUUUCUCUCUAUGCCUGCUGGUUCAUGGAGAGGGCUGAGUGUGUGGAACUAGCAUCCUGAAGAAUGUGCUUCGUGGAGAUUAGAUAAUGUUUGGUAGGAGGCAUUCCUUUUUCUAAGGGCAUACUGCCAUGUACAAAAUCAAGUCCUAAGGUUUUUGUGUGUUUUAGGAAUUAUAUUCCCCACUUUAGUGUUCUUACUCACUCACUCACUCACUCGGCCCUCCCCCCACCUGUCUCCCUGCAUAAUCUUGGAUAAGAGAAUCAGAGGUGCAAAAGGCAAAGAUCGCAGGUUCAGACAAGGACAGUUUACUGGAAACAGCAAAUGAAAUAAGAAAACAAACAGUAACAGCAAUAGUGUAGAAGGAAUAAUUCACACACAAGCUUUUGCUGUGUGGGACCCCUGGCAGUACCAGACCACACCAUGCUAUGUGACCUGGAAGGGACCCCUCCCCCAUUCCUGGAAAAUUGUGGGGUUAUAUAGAAUAACCUUAAUGUCCUAGCCUGGAAAAACUAACUGUGGCUUGGCCAGAACCAGAACAGGGAUAUGCAGGAGUCAUUAUAAUGAUGACUAGCCCUAUAUCUUCUGUUUGUGAAGUUUUAAAGAAGUUAGAGUAGCAAAGAUUAAGUAGUGAUUAAUGUCAUUGUUUAGAUAUGGACUAUGCUGAAUGAUGACAUUUUUGAUAGUUUUGCAUCUCUGUCUUUUGUAGUCCUGGAUGAUCAGAUGUGUCAUGGAUGUUCAAUGUGUGAUGAGGAAAAAGAAGAAACCAGAAAUUCUAUCACAGGGACUGAUACAGGAAUGGGUACUCCUUUCUGCCUCUCAUUACCUCAGUAAAUCAAAGCUACUCCAAGAGAGUGGAUCUCCUGUAAAUCACUGUUAAAUAUAUGGGAGGUUUUAUAUUUGGCCUGUCUACUGUUGUACACUGUCCAAUGCAAUACUGUCUUGAAAGGCUGCAAAAUGAUUAUCAGCUGAAAAUUUGGAUCCUGCUGCAAUUAUGGACUGCAUUAGCAAUGUUGAGUGUUUACUACAACAGCUUCAGGUUGUAAAGUGGGUGGAGUUAAGGUAGUUAAUUAUGGUGUUAUUGCUAUUUCUCUCAGUGAAGCAGUAUCUGCAGGGGAAAUUGAUCUAAUAGUAUUUUGACUUUUCUCUGCUGGUAGUCAUUACCCAGUUGGUUUUUGGCUUUUUGAAAUGCUGUUUGUCUGACACUGACCGUGUCAUCCAUUUUGUAAUCUUAGAGGCCACAGAUCUGAUUACUUGAGUACUUGCUAGAAGAUCCAUCUGUCUUUCCUCUAAUGAUUGGUCUUUACUACAGCAUUGCUCUUAAGGCUUGUUGAGGUGAAACAUCCUUGCAACAAAGUGCACUGCCUCUCUACUGUAUUUGGGAAACAGCCUACAACAGUGCUGGAAGAGUUUGCACUUUAGGAUGACCUGAAGAAGGAAUAGCCAGGACAGGAAAAUAAAUGCUAAGCUUCAUGAUGGAGUUUGUCAGCAUUGCAAAGAUAUCUUGGAGUGGCGAGUGAAAUUCAGAAAGUAUAAACUACUGACAAAACCUAAAAAAUGGAGACACAGAGGAGGAGCAACUGCUUCCCUCUUUGCUGUUAAAACUGGUUGAACUGUGGACCUGUAAGUUUCCAAGCCCGUCAGUGUUUCCUCCUGAACAAAACCUGAAACCUGAACCUGUUGAAACACCAAUUUCUAAGUGUGAAGUGCCUGCAGAAGACUGUAAAAGAUCCUUAUCAUAUUAUUUGUCGACCAUGUGCUGGUAAACUAGAAAUUUGUGCUAAGUGCGGGAAACAAGAAGAAAUAGUAAUUCCGAUUGAUAAAGGACAAGACAGAAC